rnacentral:rRNA from 1 species
UGAGGAAUAUUGGUCAAUGGGCGAGAGCCUGAACCAGCCAAGUAGCGUGCAGGAAGACGGCCCUAUGGGUUGUAAACUGCUUUUGUAUGGGGAUAAAGUCAAUCACGUGUGAUUGUUUGCAGGUACCAUACGAAUAAGGACCGGCUAAUUCCGUGCCAGCAGCCGCGGUAAUACGGGAGGUUCGGGCGUUAUCCGGAUUUAUUGGGUUUAAAGGGAGCGUAGGCCGGAGAUUAAGUGUGUUGUGAAAUGUAGACGCUCAACGUCUGACUUGCAGCGCAUACUGGUUUCCUUGAGUACGCACAACGUUGGCGGAAUUCGUCGUGUAGCGGUGAAAUGCUUAGAUAUGACGAAGAACUCCGAUUGCGAAGGCAGCUGACGGGAGCGCCACUGACGCUUAAGCUCGAAGGUGCGGGUAUCGAACAGGAUUAGAUACCCUGGUAGUCCGCACAGUAAACGAUGGAUGCCCGCUGUUGGUACCUGGUAUCAGCGGCUAAGCGAAAGCAUUAAGCAUCCCACCUGGGGAGUACGCCGGNNCGGU